UACGUAGGGGGCAAGCGUUGUCCGGAUUUAUUGGGCGUAAAGAGCGUGUAGGCGGCUAUACAGGUCCGCUGUGAAAACUCGAGGCUCAACCUCGGGACGUCGGUGGAAACCGUAUGGCUAGAGUCCGGAAGAGGAGAGUGGAAUUCCUGGUGUAGCGGUGAAAUGCGCAGAUAUCAGGAAGAACACCCGUGGCGAAGGCGGCUCUCUGGGACGGUACUGACGCUGAGACGCGAAAGCGUGGGGAGCGAACAGG
rnacentral:rRNA from 1 species